rnacentral:rRNA from 1 species
ACGAACGCUGGCGGCGUGCUUAACACAUGCAAGUCGAACGGAAAGGCCCUGCUUUUGUGGGGUGCUCGAGUGGCGAACGGGUGAGUAACACGUGAGUAACCUGCCCUUGACUUUGGGAUAACUUCAGGAAACUGGGGCUAAUACCGGAUAGGAGCUCCUGCUGCAUGGUGGGGUUGGAAAGUUUCGGCGGUUGGGGAUGGACUCGCGGCUUAUCAGCUUGUUGGUGGGGUAGUGGCUUACCAAGGCUUUGACGGGUAGCCGGCCUGAGAGGGUGACCGGCCACAUUGGGACUGAGAUACGGCCCAGACUCCUACGGGAGGCAGCAGUGGGGAAUAUUGCACAAUGGGCGGAAGCCUGAUGCAGCAACGCCGCGUGCGGGAUGAUGGCCUUCGGGUUGUAAACCGCUUUCGCCUGUGACGAAGCGUGAGUGACGGUAAUGGGUAAAGAAGCACCGGCUAACUACGUG